rnacentral:rRNA from 1 species
ACUGUAGGCUGCAACUCGCCUACACGAAGUUGGAAUUGCUAGUAAUCGUGGAUCAGCGUGCCACGGUGAAUACGUUCCCGGGUCUUGUACACACCGCCCGUCACACCAUGAGAGUCGGGAACACCCGAAGUCCGUAGUCUAACCGCAAGGGGGGCGCGGCCGAAGGUGGGUCCGGUAAUUGGGGUGAAGUCGUAACAAGGUAUC